CAAUGACAAACUUGACAAGUGGUGGCCCCCUGUUGGUGGAGUGGUGGUGGGGUCAGCCGCCCCACUAACAGGGAGCCGCCACUUGUCAAGUUUGUCAAACUU
rnacentral:miRNA from 1 species